GCGCAAUGGGCGGAAGCCUGACGCAGCGACGCCGCGUGGGGGAUGACGGCCUUCGGGUUGUAAACCUCUUUCGCCAGGGACGAAGCUUUUUGUGACGGUACCUGGAGAAGAAGCACCGGCCAACUACGUGCCAGCAGCCGCGGUAACACGUAGGGUGUGAGCGUUGUCCGGAAUUAUUGGGCGUAAAGAGCUCGUAGGCGGUGUGUCACGUCGGCCGUGAAAACUUGGGGCUUAACUCUGAGCGUGCGGUCGAUACGGGCAUCACUUGAGUUCGGCAGGGGAGACUGGAAUUCCUGGUGUAGCGGUGAAAUGCGCAGAUAUCAGGAGGAACACCGGUGGCGAAGGCGGGUCUCUGGGCCGAUACUGACGCUGAGGAGCGAAAGCGUGGGGAGCGAACAGGAUUAGAUACCCUGGUAGUCCACGCCGUAAACGUUGGGCGCUAGGUGUGGGGACCAUUCCACGGUUUCUGUGCCGCAGCUAACGCAUUAAGCGCCCCGCCUGGGGAGUACGGCCGCAAGGCU
rnacentral:rRNA from 1 species